rnacentral:lncRNA from 1 species
CGGGCUAAUUUUUUAUAUUUUUAAUAGAGAUGGGGUUUCCCUGUGUUAGCGAGGAUGGUCUCGAUCUCCUGACCUCGUGAUCUGCCGGCCUCAGCCUCCCAAAGUGCUGGGAUUAUAGGUGUGAGCCACCGUGCCUGGCCUAAAGCAUCCUUUUUAUGAAGACUGUUUUAAAAUCUUUGUCAGAUAAUUCUAGUAUAUUUGUCAUCUUCUUGUUUGUGUCUGUUGAUUAUCGUUCAGCAUUCAAAUUGUGGUUUUUUUUUUUUUUUUUGGUUCUCAUAUGACAAGUAAAUUGCGAUUGAAACCUGGACCUUUUGAAUAUCAUAGUAAGAGAUUCCGGAUUUCAUUGAAAGCUUCUAGUGUAGCAGGACUUCCUUGACACCACGUCAGCAAGAGAAGAGCAGUAUCUCCUCAUUCCUGCCAGGAUAUCAUGAGCUUACUGUAAGAAUAAUAUGGAAAUGCAAUUGCCAAGUAAAGUGAAGACAUGCUUAAAGAAGAGAAUCUAUUCAGGAUAACUUGCUCUACUUGAUUUCAAGUCUUAUUAUAAAACUACAAUAAAAAAACUGCUUUUCAUUUGCACUGGGAGAAUACAAUGGAACUGAAUAGAGAACUUUUGUACUUGGCCAUAAAUAUGUGAUUAUUCAAUAUAUGACAGAAUUAUACUUUUUAAGUAUUGAAUCUUAGAACAAUUGGAUUUCCAUUUGGACAAAAGAAAUUUGCUUCUUGCUACAAACCAUGCAGAAAACAUCAGCUCUAGGUGGGUCAACAACCUAAAUAUAAAAGACAAAGUAUAAACAUCUUAUUGAUAUAAAAGAAUGUGACUUAGUAAUAGGGAAAUAUUUAUUAAAUGAGAGUCAAAAAAAAGGAUUGGUUGACAAAUUGAGCUAAUUGGAAAUUAAGUAUUUACAUUAAUCGGAAGACAGCAUUUACAGAAAGAAAAUGCAAGCCACAGAACAUAAGAAAAUAUUUGUGACACAUAACUAAUUGGUCAAUAAUUAUUAUGCAAAGUAUAUGAACAACUCCUACAAAACUUAUAAGAAGAAUGCAGAUGACCCCAUUUCAAAAAAUGAUUGAAAAAUGAGAGCCUGUCGGGCGUGGCAGCUCAUGUCUGUAACUCCAGCAGUUUGGGAGGCAGAGGUGGGUGGAUCACUUGACCUCAGAAGUUAGAGACCAACCUGGGCAACAUGGCAAGACCCCGUCUCUACAACAAAUACAAAAUUAGCCAGGUGUGGUGGGGUGCACCUACAGUCCCAGCUACUCGGGAGGCUGAGGCAGAAGAAUGGCUUGAGCCCAGGAGGCGGGGGUGGCAGUGAGCCUAGAUCACAUCACUGCACUCCAGCCUGGGCGAUGGAAGUGAAACCCUGUCUCUAAAUAAAUAAAUAAAUAAAUAAAUAAAUAAAAGCAGGCACCUCACAAAAGUCAAGAUCAAAAUGGCCAAUAAACAUUUGAAAAUGUGUUCGACCUCACUAAUAAUCAAGAAAUUGUUGAUGAAAAAUGACAAUGAGAUACUACUACAUAUCAACAAGAUCGGCUAAACCCAAACAUUCUGUUACUGCUAAUGUGGGCAAGGAUACAUAACAAAAGAAAAAGUCAUACUAUUUGGUGGGAAUAUAAAUUAGUACCAGCACUUGAGAAAAUUUUUGACGAUAUCUUCAAAAGUCAAAUAUAUGCAUAUCAAGCAAAGGCAUCCUUAAGUAGAAACUUACACAUAUAUUUACUAGAAAAUGUGUACUCAUAUGUCUCUAAAAAAAUAGGAUUAGUGUUACAUUGAAAAAACUCAAAGUGUACAUUUGCAUUAGGAUGAAUAAAUGUACCUUGCUGAAUAGCAAUACAAAUAAAUAACUAAAGCUCCCUGUAGUGAUAUUUGAUCAAGAGUCAUCAAACUAUGAUCCUCUGGGCCAAACAAACCUGCUGUGACCUAUUUUUGCAUGGCCCACAAGCUAAGAAUGUUUUUACAUUUUUAUAGCUUAAAAAACAAACAGACAAGCAAAAAAAAGUAUGUGUUAGAAAACGUAGGUAGCCUGUAAAGACUAAAAUAUUUACUAUUUGGUCCCUAAAGAAAAGGUUUGCCAGUCUUUGACACAGACAAAUGUCAAAAACAUACUUUUGAUCAAAAGAAAUAAGACCUAAGAAAGAAUACAGAAUUAUAUCAGCCAUAGAAAGUUCAAACUCAAGGAAAACUAAGUUAUUUUGUUUCAUAAUUAAUAUAAGUGGUAAAACUACAAUAAAAAGAUAGAAGGUGCCUAUCAUAAAAGUCAUACUGUAAUUACUACUAAGGAAGAAGAUGAAUGUUAUCACUGGGAUAGGAACAUGGGAAUUCAGGGUCUUGGCAAUAAUGUUCCAUUUCUUGACCUGCAGGCAUUCCCUUUACACACGAGUGCACAUAUACAUGCACACACACACAGCAUUUUUUGGUAAAUAUGUUUAUUUCACAAUAGCUGUUUUCUGAAGAGUAAAUCAGACAUUUGGUUCUUUCAAGGCAUGCUGAAAUAUGUGAGUAUCUUUCUGCUACAAAUACAAAGAAGUGCUUGGUAAUAUGUAAUACAAAUAGUUUAAUAUAUAAUUGACCUAAAAAGAAAGAAGGUAAAAUUCCUAGAUGCCAGAGACAACAGAGGAAAACCUUGAGGAGUGAUGCCAUGGUGGCCUAGGAAGGAACUGAAUCCUGGUACAGGUCUUAAUUGCCAGGGAUGGGGUGAUGACGCCUGUGAAGAGGUGACAAGAGGUACAUUCAAAAAGGCAAUAUUGGGCCGAGUGCGGUGGCUCACGCCCGUAAUUCCAGCACUUUGGGAGGCCAAGACAGGCGGGUCACGAGGUCAGGAGUUUGAGACCAGCCUGGACAACAUGGUGAAGCCCUGUCUCUACUAAAAAUACAAAAAUUAGCUGGGCGUGGUGGCGGGCACCUGUAAUCCCAGCUACUCAGGAGGCUGAGGCAAGAGAAUCGCUUGAACCCAGCAGGCGGAGGUUGCAGUGUGCCGAGAUCAUGUCAUUGAACUCCAGCCUGGGUGACAAGAGUGAAACUUCGUCUCAAAAAAAAAAAAAAAAAAAAGAGAGAAAAAGAAAAAUGGAAACCCAACCUAUUCUACAGCCAAAUGAGGAGGAAAAGUUGGCAUCAAUAUGUAUUCCCAAAUGAAGAUAGUCUUGUGUCCCGACUUAUUAAGCAAACAGAAAAUAUUUUUUAUGGGAGUAUUUUUUACCCAGUGUGUGUGCGCACACACACACACCCACACACACACACUCCUCCUGAGUAAAAGAGCACAUACAAAAUUACAAACCACAUGAGAAAAUAAUCUGUCAUGAGAGAGAAUCUGAUUAACAAUAAACCCUAGGCAUAUGGUCUCAAGAACUCAAGUAAUACAACAAUCAUAAAUUGUGCUUAAAAUUGUUCACAAAUAAAACCAUGAAAUAAAAUUAUAGUAGACAACAUUUUAGAAAUAAUAUUUUAAAAGAAAAACAAAAAGAACAUUAAAAAUGAAAAUAUACUCAUUGAAACUAAAUACUCAGUGAGUUAAACAUCAUGUUGCACACAACUGAAUAAAGAAUUGUGAGCACAACUAAAUAAAAAAAUUAGAGAACGGAAGAGUAGUCUGCUGAAAUUGCUACAAGAAGUAAUAAUUCAGUGAGAUAAAGCAAUGGAAAAUGUAAAGGAAAGAUUGAGCCAUGGUGAGUAGAAUAAAAAUAACUGACAUAUGUCUAAAUAGGAGCUGUGGAGGAAGAGAAUAGGGAAACGUUUGGUGAAAAAAAUAUACAACAUGAUAAAUGGCUAGGAAUUUUCAGAGCUGAUGAACAACUGUUAAUCUUUACAAUAAGGAAUGAUACCAAUUCCUGAGCUUGAUAAAUAAAAAUAAAAAUUAAUGAGAUGCAUCAUAGUGAAACUGCAGGGAAAAGGAGAAAUAGCAUAACUCUCAGAAGCAAUCAGGUAGAAAAAGAUUACCUACAAAAAAGGAACAGAUUGUCAAUUAGAUGUUCUACCAGCAUACAGAAAAUAGAGAAAAUUGAUUAGUAUUUUGAAGUUGCUAAGAAACAUAAUGUGAACUUAGACUUCUAUGCCCAGUUAAACCCUCAAAAGUCAAAUAUAUUUUCACACAAAUGCUAACUUUGCCACCCAUAUAUCUUGCUGAAAGACACAACUGUUAUUUAUUUUUAUUUUCUGUUACAGCUGUUAUUUAAUAGCUAUUUUUAAAUAAACUUAUGUCCAGAUAAAUGUUGUGUGUGUGUGUGUGUGUGUGUGUAUGUGUGUGUGUGUAAAGUGAAUGCAUGCAGGCCAAGAAAUGGAAUAUAUGAGGUGUGUUUCAUAAAGAUAAAAAUUGAACCUAAGAAGGAAGAAAUAGAAAGCAAAAAUAAGUGGUUACAAAAUAAAUCAGAAACAUGUGAGUAAAUCUAAAUAAAAUUAUUAUAAAAAUGAAUAAUAAUUAAAAUAAUAUCCAAUGGGUGGGGAGUAAAACAGAUGUAACUAAAAUACUAUACAACAAUAAUAUGGAAUAUGUGGACAUUCUACAAUUCUUCAUUGGCCAUGAUAAAACCUUGCUAAUUCAGGUAUGCAUUUUAACAUUAUAUCAGACAAAAUAAAACAUCUUUUAAUUUGGUGGAAGGAAACAAAGCGGAAAGAAAUUCUAAUCAUCCAACGGAAGGAUGAUUGAGAAAAAGAGGAGAAAAAUAAUUAAGAAAUAGCAUGAAAACAAAAAAAAAACUUGUCACGUAAAUAAUUCCAAAUAUAUCCAUAAUCUCAAUAAACAAAAAAGAUAAAGAUCCUCUAGUUGGAUAAACAAAAAGGCAAGUUAUAUGUAAUGUUUAGGCAUUACACAGAAAGAAUAUUAAUAAAAAAUGGGAAAGGUAUAUUAGGCAAAUGCUAAUCUGUGUAAAGCUGUUAAAUGAUGUAGCAAUACUAAUGCCAUUCAAUUAAAUUUAAAGGUAUAAAGAAAUAUUAAUGAUAAAGACAAUCAUGGAAAUUACUGUAAAAUUAUCUAGAAAAUGAAGUAAUACUAAAUCCAUCCUCCUCUAACAGUGUAACCUCAAAAUGUAUAAAGCAAAAAAAAAAAAAUCAGAGGGAAAAUUGUUCAAAUAAAAUCAUAACAAGAUUCUAGCUCACCUGGCAGAAACAGAAAAAGGGAAAAAUGAAAAACAUAAAAACAUUAAAGAGCACAAUUGACAAAUUUGCUCAAAUUGUCAUACAAAGGCCAGUACCCAACAAUUAAGGUACUCAUUACUUUCUAGCAGAAUAGAAUUUUGAUAACCAUAGACCAUGUCUAAACAUGUGCCAGAAUUUAACCUGGUACAGACAACAUUUAAAAAACUACCUACUGGGGUGCACUACUCAGGUGACACAUACACUAAUAUCCCAGACUUCGCCACUAUACAAUUCACCCACGUAAUAAAAAAACUACUUGUACCCCUACAGCAUUGAAAUAGAAAAAAUUUAAAACAAUAGCAAACCCCUCAAAAGCACAUUACAAAAAUACCUCCCAAAACAAUAAACAAUUUGUAUUAAGAUUUUAAAAUUUGAUUAUUUGGGUAUUUCAUAAGUCAAAGAGAAAUUCAGAAUGGAUAUUAAAGAACUGAAAAACAUACAGAGAACUGAAAAACUACAUAUUGAAACUCAAGAGAUGCAACUGAAAUAACGCUUCCAGAGUCUGGGAGCCUGAAAUGCACACAUGAACAAGG